CCUACGGGAGGCAGCAGUCGAGAAUCAUUCACAAUGGGGGAAACCCUGAUGGUGCGACGCCGCGUGGGGGAAUGAAGUUCUUCGGAUUGUAAACCCCUGUCAUGUGGGAGCAAAUUAAAAAGAUAGUACCACAAGAGGAAGAGACGGCUAACUCUGUGCCAGCAGCCGCGGUAAUACAGAGGUCUCAAGCGUUGUUCGGCAUCACUGGGCGUAAAGCGUGCGUAGGCUGUUUCGUAAGUCGUGUGUGAAAGGCGCGGGCUCAACCCGCGGACGGCACAUGAUACUGCGAGACUAGAGUAAGGGAGGGGGAACCGGAAUUCUCGGUGUAGCAGUGAAAUGCGUAGAUAUCGAGAGGAACACUCGUGGCGAAGGCGGGUUCCUGGACAUUAACUGACGCUGAGGCACGAAGGCCAGGGGAGCGAAAGGGAUUAGAUACCCGUGUAGUC
rnacentral:rRNA from 1 species